UACAGUGUAGGAAAGACCAGAGGGCAUUUUCUUUGCUUUCAGUCACUUUCUUUCCAAUGUCUAUGAGGGGCUUUUUCACACAUUCUCUCAUUUCAUUUUGCUUUUGAGCCAUGCCAUGACCAAACCAUCUAGGAGUUCAUGAAAUGUACAACAGAGUAGCCCUUCCAGCUCCAGUAAUGGACUUGUGCAUGCCUGGCAUCUUGAAAAUGCGCCAUGUUCCAGCUGGCACACUUCAAAUGAGACUUGGCUAAUACAUCACUGGGUCAGCGAACUUCUGAUCACUGGUAUUUCACUUCAUGCUAACCGGUGUUUGAAGCAUGAUCAAAAGUUGUGAACAGCUGAAAUAAAGAGAAUAACACUAUG